CUCCUCUCAGGAUCACACCUGGAGAGUUUCCAAGUACUCUAUCAGUUUUGGUUACAGGAGGGAGAGUCAAGCAGAGUUAUACCCAUUUCAUUCCUAACUUGGCCAGAGGCUAGCGAGUGGAAGGCAAUCUGCUAAAAGU